ensembl:lncRNA
GUCUAAAGAUUAACUCUUCAACACUGCUCACUGUGCAAGAACUGGGGCAGGUGAAAAACUGGAGGAAGUCUGUGUGUCAUCCUUCAGAGCAAAGGAGGGGUACCACAGGAGCCAGAUGCACAAAUGAUUACUAAAAGAGAUCGGGAAAUACACAGAGGAAAGUCUGUUGCUGGGUCAGACAACUCAGCUGUUGUCCUCAAAUCUGCCCAGACUGCUACUUUACAGCAAAAAUAUGUGAAUCCCAUUUUCUGCCAACACCAAGAUGAACAAACUCCAGAAAACAACAUGAAAGAUAGCAAAGCAGGAAGAAACGUCAUCGGGUUAUGCUUCUGGCAAAGGACAUGUUCAAAGCUGCAGGAAUGUAUCGGUGUAUGGACAAGAUGAUGCCACUUGUUGCUGCUGUGUGUGGACAGAUUAAUGAACCGUGGCCCUCAGCAGCUCGGAUUUAUCUCGGAUUUUGCUGGCUGGGAGCACAGAGUUAGAGAAGCCACAGGACAAGCCCAUCAUCAUGGAGAAAGUUGGCAACAGACUGAGACCUGCUGGCUUGCCGCCCUGGGCUCUGAGCUUCCUGCAAGCUUCUUGCUAGCAAGGGGCAUUGUAGAAGAGCUGUGGACCCAGGUGGUCCAGGGCAAGGCAGCUCCUUUUCCACUGGCUUUGAGAAGGUGGUCGGCUGGGAUGGGGAGAUGGCAGCCCAGCAGAUCCUCGCUGGCUCAGAGCAGUCCCUCUGGUCGAGCUCCCCUUGCACAGCCCUAUCCAACAGGCAUUGUCUGGAAGCAAUUAGAGAGACUUUUAUUUUUUUUCCAUCGUUGCCUGACAACCUCAGCAGACGCACAUGUAGUCAUCCCCCUCUGCUUCUAAAGAACUUUGCUUACUAUUAACUAUUUAAAUGUUGAAAGUAUUAAAGCUAAUUGAACUCAUUGCUCAGAGAACUGAGUCUGAGGUCAACUGUCGUCUACGGUAACACUGUUUGGGUAAAAGGACUUGGGGGUAGUUUAGAAAUCUUUAGAAAAGCGCUCAUGCCUGCCCAUAUACUUGUCAGUCCUACUUGUCGUUACUGGUGGGAUUUUUGGUCAGGCAAACAGAUGGCACUGCUUUCAGAACUCCUCCAUGAGCAGUUGAAAGAACCAGCUACUGAGUCAGCUCUGAGAGUAGUGACACGAGAUGCUCCUAGGCCAAAUUUAAGCAUCUUGCUUCGGGUGCUUCGCAUGGGACAGUCAUUCUCUAUGGUCCCUGGUGGGGCAAGGGAGGAGGGAAGAUAAGUUCUUCCAUAGGACAAUUCUGAUUCAUAUUUAGAUGCCUUCUGGAGGGACUUUUGUGACGCUGUUUCUUUGUCAGCUGUAUGGGAAACCUAGAGAAAUCAUCCUCCAGCUGUAGAUACUGAGAAUAUCCCCUCGGAGGGUCAUACUGAGAAAGACUCCCAGACAGCAAAUGAGAAAAGCUGCCUUGACUUCAAAGGUGUUAUUGUUGACUUACAUCCUGCUGAGGAUUCAGCCCAGUGUUUUUAAAAUGCUAAUGCUCCCCAGCCUGCGGUGAACAAAUUUAUUCUGAUCGCCAUACAUUCUGGGAGAAAAAAAAGGAAAGGAGGGAGGAGAACUUGGUGGGUCUUAAUGGAGCAGCAGAGGAUUCAUCCCUAAAGGUGGCGGAACAUUGGCUGCUGUAAAACCUGAGUGACACCAGGACCAGAUCUUAGAGCAGUGCUGUUCUCUCAGUGCUGUGAGAGCACCUCACAGAAUCAUGGAAUCACAGAAUGGCUUAGGUUGGAGUGGACCUUAAAGAUCACCUAGUUCUAACCCAAGCUCCUCACCACCCUUCAAGUAAAAAAAAUUCCUCCUAACAUCUAACCUAAAUCUCAACUCUUAUAGUUUCAAGCCAUUCAUCCUUGUCCUAUCACUAUCAGACCAUGUAGAAAGUCAGUCUCUCUUCCACUUGGAAGCUCCCUACAAGUACUGGAAGACUGCAGUGAGGUCUCCCCAGAGCCUUCUCUUCUCCAGGCUGAACAAGGCCAGCUCCCUCAACCUGUCUUCAUAGGAGAGGUGCUCCAGCCCUCUGAGCAUCUUCACGGCCCUCCUCUGGACUCACUUAAACAGUUCCACAUCCCUUCUGUACAAGGGACCCCAGGUAUGGAAGCAGUACUCCAGAAGGGGCCUCACAAGAGCAGAGAUCAUCUAAACUGGUAACCUUGAGGGUAUGAAGUCCUCUGUUGUUGCCUGGAAAAGGCAGCCUGCUAGAAAUAAAUAGAGGGUAUUGUUCAUUUUUUAGAAGCGUGAGUUGUCUUUAAGACAUGCCGAGGAAUGUGAGCAUCCCACACAUCCAGAAACUUCACACAGUCAAAGACUGAAAAAAAAGAAAAUGAGAAAAGAGACCCCAACAAGGAAGGUUCACGCUUUCCCAUCUCUCACAACUGGCCAGGUCCGAGGUGAGUAGCCUGGAGUUCCUCUUCUGUAGGAGGAUGUGAAGCCUGCUGGAAGCAUGAUCCUGGAAGGUUACAAGGAUAUGUCCUGCUAUUGAAGAGGGUAUCAAGGGACCAGAGGCAGCCAAGUUUAAAAGAUGAUUGGAGUUAUGACGGCUGCAGGACACAGCUGUGAAAGGCAGGAGGAAAUCUUCCCUUCUUCAAGACGGAUCCUGUGAGAGCGAAGGUCUGAGCACAUGGUGGUUGCUGGAAGCCCAUCACUGCUUGAGUGGGUCAGAAAUAGACACAGGAGAGCAAAAGCCUGGCAAAGCCUCUCUUUGCUCAAAGUGUGUGUAAGGCUGAUCUAAUGUGUACUGAAGUCACUGAAAUCAAUAGGUCUACUCCUGAAGUGCUCAGGAGCAGGUCUUUUGCCUGUUUUAAUUCCUUGUAUGCAUUGCCUACAGCUUACAUUUCAUUUAGGACAAAACAAAAGCAGUGGAUUUUUAUCCCAAGCCCAGGAAGCGAAAGGAGGACUGCACUCCACACGCUCUGCUUAGCGACAACAAGCAAAAAUUCUUUAGCACCAUCUAGCUAACGUCGAAGGUAACCCACACUGACACUUCCUACAAAUCUCUGCCACCGACAGCACUCCCUGGCUUUAGCAUGCAGACUUCAAAAGCUGAGAGAUAGCCGCUGCAUGCUGAUGAGCACCCAGGAGCAGGGCGUGCAUUUCACAUAGAGCCAGAUGGGGCAUCCAUUACUGGCCAUGUGAAGUACAAGUGCAAGUUCCUUACAAUGGUUUGCAUCAUAUCUUGUUCACCAGCCUGGGAAAACACAACAGCAGGGACAUGGGAAAGGAUGAGAACACCUUUGUUUCCCAAAAUGUCACCUAGAAUGGCAAAUGCUGUGGAAGCAAAACUUAAUGCAGGAAGGUUUGGUAAAGCUGAAUAAAGAGGUAUGCAAUUAACAGAGAUGGUUGGAAAACUGUGAAGAGAAUGGAUGGAGGAAAUCACAAUCAAAAUGCUUCACAUAUUCAAGAAAUAUUUGCUGAAAUCUUCUUGUAGGAAUAAAAAAACAACAAUACGGGGGACAGUUCAAAGUAGCCAAAUAUUUUCAAAUGAAAGAGCUAGAAUUUUCCUUUAUUUCUUAAGAUCUUAUAAUGAUAAGCUAUUGUAUAAAAUGUAAAAACAAAACCCCAGAAAAUCGAGUUGGCAAUCUACAAUUAUUUUCUUCCUAAAACAAACAUUUCAAAGUCCCCUUUAUAGACCCACUUUGAGGGGAAAAAAAAAUUGAAACCGAUGGAUAUCAUGUUUCAGAAUAAAGCCAAACAUUAACAACCCAGGGUGCUUCAUGAAAAGGACUCUUUCCCUCUAGAAGUUUUAUGAACAAAAAUGUCUUCUUUUUAGUCUUUAAGUUCUGAUAAUGAAUCAGUGACACUGCUGCUGGCACUGCCUGAUGGAUAAAGCACAGUCCUCUAAAACGUGAGAUUUGGGAAUGCCCUUUUCUAACAAAUUACCCAUGAGCAGUAAAGUACGAGUUUACCAAAGUUCUUGUUUCAUGUAGGGCUGAAUCUUCAUCUGAGAAGAGGAUGUCCUCUUCUCACAUGGCUUUAUCGAGGGAAAAGCCUUACAACACAGAGUAAUUGGAAGCAUUCCGAUGCAGCACUGGCCCCAUUACCUGUUUACAUGUGGGCCUUCAGAAAAAUCAUCAGCUGAAUUUUAAUUUCUCCCCCAGCUAAAACACUGCAUUCCAUUUUGGUACUGAUCUUUCGAGCUAGGUCAUUCAGAAACAUUUGCCAGACAUUCUUGUGCCCCCUCCACCUAUUAUUUUCUUUAAUUUAAUGACCCCAAACAAUAACAUGCCACUUUUACACAGGCAAGGACUUGGGCUUGGACAGAAUUCCCUGUCAGAAUGCAUGUGUUGGAAUUGCCUAUGAGACUGUGUGUGUAUGCUACUCCCACCCCCUCUCACUCCCUGUGUCGGGCUUUCUAUUCUACUCUAAUUCAGACUAAGGAAUCGGUCCUUGCUUUCUUAAAAUCACACACAGCCCUACAUUUAGCGUUUUGCUGCUGCUUUUGCUUUACCUGCUAAGAACCCUUUCCCCCUCCAAACUGGUUUCAUAAACUGGUUGAAUUCAGACCUCACAAUUGCUUAAUUAAAUCAUACUCUGUAUUUCGUACCGAAAGUAGCUCAUGAAAUCUCUGCAUGGACCACUGCAGCAAAUCCAGAACUGCAUUCACAUUUGCAAGAUGUUCAUGGAAUGCAUUGCUCAUCCUCUUAUUCAGUAUUUCCAAAUUUCAGAUGAACGUUUCGACACCCAAUGCCAG